rnacentral:rRNA from 1 species
GUGACGACGCUGGCGGCGUGCCUAACACAUGCAAGUCGAACGGUAACAGGGACUUCGGUCCGCUGACGAGUGGCGCACGGGUGAGUAACGCGUGGAGUUACCUGCCCAUCAGUGGGGAACAACUCCGGGAAACSGGAGCUAAUACCGCAUACGACCUUCGGGUGAAAGAGGGGGAUCUUCGGACCUCUCGCUGAUGGAUGGUUCCGCGUCCGAUUAGUUAGUUGGUAAGGUAAUGGCUUACCAAGACGAUGAUCGGUAGCUGGUCUGAGAGGAUGAUCAGCCACACUGGAACUGAGACACGGUCCAGACUCCUACGGGAGGCAGCAGUGGGGAAUUUUGCACAAUGGGCGAAAGCCUGAUGCAGCGACGCCGCGUGCGGGAAGAAGGCCUUCGGGUUGUAAACCGCUUUCAACAGGGAAGAAGGAAUGAGGGCCAAUACCCCUCUGCCUUGACGGUACCUGUAGAAGAAGCCCCGGCUAAUUUCGUGCCAGCAGCCGCGGUAAUACGAAAGGGGCAAGCGUUGUUCGGAUUUACUGGGCGUAAAGAGAUCGUAGGUGGCUUGUUAAGUCGGAUGUGAAAUCCCGGGGCUCAACCCCGGAACUGCAUUCGAUACUGGCAGGCUUGAGUUCGGGAGGGGGAAGCGGAAUUCCGUGUGUAGCAGUGAAAUGCGUAGAUAUACGGAGGAACACCUGAGGCGAAGGCGGCUUCCUGGACCGAUACUGACACUGAGGAUCGAAAGCGUGGGUAGCAAACAGGAUUAGAUACCCUGGUAGUCCACGCCCUAAACGAUGUCUACUAGCCCGUUGCGGGUAUCGACCCCCUGCMGUGGCGCAGCUAACGCGAUAAGUAGACCGCCUGGGGAGUACGGCCGCAAUCUCA